rnacentral:tRNA from 1 species
GGGCCCGUAGCUCAAUUGGCAGAGCUAUCGGCUCAUAACCGAUUGGUCCUCCGUUCGAAUCGGAGCGGGCCCACCA